GUACAUGUGACGGUGGACCGAACCUCUCAUCUUAUUUAACGGUCAUCUCAUCCAUCUUUGCAUCGAACACUCAGAUCUCUGAAACAGAGGCUCUUCGAUCUUCACCAUGGCGGAUCUCCUCCUUCCUGCUGAGAUCUAUUCUACGACCACCCCCUUCUCUUUUCAUCAAGGGGAUGUCGGUGAUUGGCUUAACAUCAUGAGCCAUUAUUGGGAUAUCCGAAGGGAGGGGAAAGCACUUGCAUGGAAGAAAGCAAAUUAAACUUUCCGGCAGAACCACCGGCGUGCUCAUUGUAGCAUCAGGAUGUCCGAUUUCUGUUCGCUCGAUGCAGAUCUGACCAUUCAUUUCUUCAAGAGGAUCUUUGAGGUGCUAUUUGUUCACAAAUAUACAGUGGCGGGGUGGCUCUUGAUUCUGCAAUUCUUAUCUCUCUUGGAUACUUUGCGUCCGCUGCAAGACCUAACGCAAGGGAUUUCAGAUCCGCCAGUUGAUUUAAAGUAUUCUGGAAUUUUGUUGGUUGGUUCUUUGAGGAAUCAGCAGCAACUUUUACCACCAUUAUCUCCUCUCCAAACUUGAGGAGGAUGACAGAAAAUAGAGGAGGAUUCCCAAGGGUGGUUUAUUUGAGUUAGUGAUAUUCCCAUACUAUCUUUCUGAGAGUAUAGGUUUCUUAGGGUGGUUUAUUUGAGUUAGUGAUAUUCCCAUACUAUCUUUCUGAGAGUAUAGGUUUCUUAGGGUUCUCAUUUAUCUCUCAAACAUGGUAUGCAUUCUCUUUCACUCGGGCACUAUCUAUCUUUUACGUGAUUGAAGGAGUUGGUACCUCUUCAAAUUUGAAGAUUGAAGAUUUCGGUGAGGGAAUGUUCGUGCAUGUUGAAUGAAUAAGUCCUCCCAAACUUGAUAUAUGGACAUUCCCCAAGAAUGCAAUCGGGAUGAGCAGGAAAACUGAGAUCUGCACAAUAGUAAAACCAGUGCUUUGGAUCUCUUUCUUCUUCACAAAUAUCACAAUAAUAUUCAUCAUCGGAAUUAGUUUCAUCUUUAUAAUAAAGUGUGAAUUGUUGUUCAUAUGGUCUGUAUCUUAUGCUACCCGGUGCUUUAGCAUAUUUAAAAUCUCGUUUAAAAAGAUACGGAUUAUACUAACAAUAGUUCAUAUUUUGUCAUAAAGUUGAAGAUAAUUUUAGUGAGGAAUAUUAUUGUGAUAUUUAUGAAGAAUAAAGAAAUCCAAAUCAUUGGUUUUACUAUUGUGCAGAUUUUAGUUGUCUUGCUCAUUCGGAUUGCAUUCUUGGGGGAUGUACAUAUAUCAAGUUUAGGAGGACUUAUUUUUUCGGCACUACAUAUAGAUUUUUGUUGUAAAUCUGGAUGCCCAUACCAAUUGCUUAUAGGGCUAUGAUUUCAUUGUUUUCCUAUGAUUAGUAUUCUUGAUUAAGUGGUAAAAUUUAUGUAAAUGUUAGUGAUCUUCACAUAAUUUCACAUUUGUAUUAUAAAUUUUAUGAACCUAUAAAAGUUGUUGAAUACAGGAGUGUGUUACUUUGGUUAUUA